rnacentral:rRNA from 1 species
GGACUACCAGGGUAUCUAAUCCUGUUUGCUACCCACGCUUUCGCGCCUCAGCGUCAGAUGAUGCCCAGUAUGCUGCCUUCGCCAUGGGUGUUCCUCCUGAUAUCAACGCAUUUCACCGCUACACCAGGAAUUCCACAUACCUCUGCAUCCCUCCAGUCUGGCAGUAUGAAAAGCAAUUUCCGGGUUGAGCCCUGGAGAUUUCACUUCUCACUUACUAGACCGCCUACGCGCUCUUUACGCCCAGUAAAUCCGGACAACGCUUGGACCCUACGUCUUACCGCGGCUGCUGGCAC